rnacentral:rRNA from 1 species
GAAUCCCGUCUUUGACACGGACUGCCUGUACAUUAUGGUGUGCUCUCGAAGAGUCGAGUUGUUUGGGAAUGCAGCUCAAAAUGGGUGGUAAAUGCCAUCUAAAGCUAAAUAUUGGCGAGAGACCGAUAGCGAACAAGUACCGUGAGGGAAAGAUGAAAAGAACUUUGGAAAGAGAGUUAAACAGUACGUGAAAUUGCUGAAAGGGAAACGCUUGAAGUCAGUCGCGUUGGCUAGAAAUCAACCUUGCUUUUGCUUUGUGUACUUUCUGGUUGACGGGUCAGCAUCAAUUUUGACCACUGGAUAAAGUCUUUGGGAAUGUGGCAUCUUCGGAUGUGUUAUAGCCCAUUGUCGCAUACGGUGGUUGGGAUUGAGGAACUCAGCACGCCGCAAGGCCGGGUUUCGACCACGUUCGUGCUUAGGAUGCUGGCAUAAUGGCUUUAAUCGACCCGUCUUGAGACACGGACCAAGGAGUCUAACAUGCCUGCGAGUGUUUGGGUGGAAAAACCCAUGCGCGCAAUGAAAGUGAAAGUUGAGAUCCUCUUCAAAGGGGGAGCAUUGACGCCCGGACCAGACCUUUUGUGACGGAUCCGCGGUAGAGCAUGCAUGUUGGGACCCGAAAGAUGGUGAACUAUGCCUGAAUAGGGUGAAGCCAGAGGAAACUCUGGUGGAGGCUCGUAGCGAUUCUGACGUGCAAAUCGAUCGUCAAAUUUGGGUAUAGGGGCGAAAGACUAAUCGAACCAUCUAGUAGCUGGUUCCUGCC